AGAAAAUUUUCAACGGUGGAUAUCUAGGUUCCCGUGACGAUGAAGAACGCAGCGAAAUGCGAUACGCAAUGCGAAUUGCAGAAC
rnacentral:rRNA from 1 species